GGGUUGCUAACUCAACGGUAGAGUACUCGGCUUUUAAGUCGACUAGUUCCGGGUUCGAAUCCCGGGCAACCCAU
rnacentral:tRNA from 1 species